rnacentral:rRNA from 1 species
AACGCAGCGAAGGGCGAUAAGUAAUGUGAAUUGCAGAAUUCAGUGAAUCAUCGAAUCUUUGAACGCACAUUGCGCCCGCCAGUAUUCUGGCGGGCAUGCCUGUUCGAGCGUCAUUUCAACCCUCAACGCCCCCGGGCUUGGUGUUGGAGAUCGGCGUCGCCCCCCGGGGCGCGCCGGCUCCCAAAUAUAGUGGCGGUCUCGCUGUAGCUUCCUCUGCGUAGUAGCACACCUCGCACUAGGAAAACAGCGUGGCCACGCCGUUAAACCCCCCACUUCUGAAAGGUUGACCUCGGAUCAGGUAGGAAUACCCGCUGAACUUAA